rnacentral:rRNA from 1 species
GGUUACUGCUAUCGGUGUUCGCUUAAGCCAUGCGAGUCAUAUGUUCUUCGGAACAUGGCGUACUGCUCAGUAACACGUGGAUAACCUGCCCUUGGGUCCGGCAUAACCCCGGGAAACUGGGGGUAAUUCCGGAUAACGCACAUAUGCUGGAAUGCUUUAUGCGUCAAAUGGAUUCGUCCGCCCAAGGAUGGGUCUGCGGCCUAUCAGGUAGUAGUGGGUGUAAUGUACCUACUAGCCUACGACGGGUACGGGUUGUGAGAGCAAGAGCCCGGAGAUGGUUUCUGAGACAUGAAUCCAGGCCCUACGGGGCGCAGCAGGCGCGAAAACUUUACAAUGCGGGAAGCCGUGAUAAGGGGACACCGAGUGCCAGCAUCAUAUGCUGGCUGUCCGGGUGUGUAAAAUACACCUGUUAGCAAGGGCCGGGCAAGACCGGUGCCAGCCGCCGCGGUAACACCGGCGGCCCGAGUGGUGAUCGUGAUUAUUGGGUCUAAAGGGUCCGUAGCCGGUUUGGUCAGUCCUCCGGGAAAUCUGACGGCUUAACCGUUAGGCUUUCGGGGGAUACUGCCAGACUUGGAACCGGGAGAGGUAAGAGGUACUACAGGGGUAGGAGUGAAAUCUUGUAAUCCCUGUGGGACCACCUGUGGCGAAGGCGUCUUACCAGAACGGGUUCGACGGUGAGGGACGAAAGCUGGGGGCACGAACCGGAUUAGGUACCCGGGUAGUCCCAGCCGUAAACGAUGCUCGCUAGGUGUCAGGCAUGGCGCGACCGUGUCUGGUGCCGCAGGGAAGCCGUGAAGCGAGCCACCUGGGAAGUACGGCCGCAAGGCUGAAACUUAA